ensembl:lncRNA
UCUGAUUAUCUUGUAUUCAUGGAGUGAUAUGGAUAUGAAAGGAUUUGGGGAGAUACAGUAAGUUAAAUAGAGUGGGGCUGGGAGGUGGAGCAAUGACUUCUUCCCAAUUUGGCCAUUCCUGCUUCAGAGCCAUUCUCCCAGGUCCCAGCCUCCAACUCUAUCCUAACCUUUUGAUAAAUCUUUGCCUACCAAGGGGCAAAACUACAUGUUAUCCCAAGGAACAGGGACGACUAUUAGACUCAACUUCCUCGCUUUACCAAUUCCUCUGACCAUUCUUCAGCCUAGAAACUGGGACCACUUUCAUGAUUGGUGGAGAUUACUGACUGGUCACAAAGGGAGUGGCGUGGACACUUCAUAGAGGGCAUUUCCAUUAUGAAUGGGUGAUGCGCUCAGCAGUGUGACCUAACUGCUGGACCAGGUCUGAGUUUCCACCAGCUACCGAUUUUCACAGGAUGAGUAUGCACAGAGUGCCAACUGAAAAAAAGACAAGAAAACUACCUGCAAUUUCCUCCUCUCAGUUCCAGCCUCCACCCCCUCUUCCUGCUCCUUCUUGCUCUCACUGUCCAACUCACCUUCCUCCCCUGUCUCCUCCAUCUUUUAGCCCUUGGCCUCCUCCCCAGCACCAUCCUCCUCUCUCAGUUUUGAGCCCCACCUGUUUCCCUCCUCUGACUAGCGUCAUCCCUUCCUGCCACUCUACCUUAAGGAUUUCCAGGGCCAGCUCUUCCGCUGUUCCCUGCAGACCAUCCACUUGCCACCCUGUUCGUCUUGGCCCAUUGUCUCUUUACUCCUUUGUUCUUGCCCCUACUCCUCCUCCGACCCCUUCUAGUCCCUUGGACUCUGAUUCUCACUAACACUCCAGCUACCCUCAAGCUGGUAAUUCACAAGUAUCGUCCUGGAGAGAUGGGUUGCCUACAGGGGGACUAAUCUGAUGAAGUUCUAUCAGGAAUUAGAUUGUGGAUUCCCUGGUGGACAUAGGGAAUUCAAGAUGACGGUCAAACAACAUUCAGCAUAAAAGAUGCCGGAGACAUCUUCAACAAACUCCUUUCUUCUGUCCCUCUCCUCUCCUGCCUGAUCACCAAGUCUGCACAGUUCUCUACAUUUCCGAUUGACUUCUCCAUGAAACUUGCUCUGUGGCCACAAAGCAAAUAGUGAGACCAGUGACAGAGAAGGUAGAGAAGAGGGAGGAGCAGAAAGCAUCUUAUCUCAAGAACCUUGCCAGGGACUUUCUGCCCCUGAGAAGAGGAGGGGACCCUCCACUGUGUUCUCAUCAAAGAGGUCAUUAAAAUCAAUGGUCCGGCUCGAGUCUCUCUGCCUGGAUGAAGUGGAGAGACCAGGCCCUGGUGGUCUCAUCUCCAAGCUUUCAGAGCCUUGGAUGCUCCCUGUUCUCCUCUCCUGCUGCCUUGACCGACCAACCACCUAUGGAUCUCAGAGUUACCUCCUCAGGGUUACAACUCAUAAAAGCACAGCCCCAAAUUAGGAUGUCAUAUGGAAAAUACUAUGACAGAGGUCCACAAAUUUUGAAAUGUGGUUCCUGGCAAGCUGAGUAGAUUUGGAUUUAAACUGUUGAGCCCUCAAGCUCAAAUAUUUGACAGAUGCUCUAAGGCUUUACAAAGCACAAAAUAAAUGGUGUUUUUUG